AGAGUUUGAUCCUGGCUCAGGAUGAACGCUAGCGGCAGGCUUAACACAUGCAAGUCGAGGGGGAUAGUAGCAAUACUAGAGACCGGCGCACGGGUGCGUAACGCGUAUGCAAUCUACCUUUCACAGAGGGAUAGCCCAGAGAAAUUUGGAUUAAUACCUCAUAGUAUAAUACCUUGGCAUCAAGGAAUUAUUAAAGUCACAACGGUGAAAGAUGAGCAUGCGUCCCAUUAGCUAGUUGGUAUGGUAACGGCAUACCAAGGCGACGAUGGGUAGGGGUCCUGAGAGGGAGAUCCCCCACACUGGUACUGAGACACGGACCAGACUCCUACGGGAGGCAGCAGUGAGGAAUAUUGGACAAUGGGCGCAAGCCUGAUCCAGCCAUGCCGCGUGCAGGAUGACGGUCCUAUGGAUUGUAAACUGCUUUUAUACAGGAAGAAACACUCCCUCGUGAGGGAGCUUGACGGUAUCGUAAGAAUAAGGAUCGGCUAACUCCGUGCCAGCAGCCGCGGUAAUACGGAGGAUCCAAGCGUUAUCCGGAAUCAUUGGGUUUAAAGGGUCCGUAGGCGGUUUAGUAAGUCAGUGGUGAAAGCCCAUCGCUCAACGGUGGAACGGCCAUUGAUACUGCUAGACUUGAAUUAUUAGGAAGUAACUAGAAUAUGUAGUGUAGCGGUGAAAUGCUUAGAGAUUACAUGGAAUACCAAUUGCGAAGGCAGGUUACUACUAAUGGAUUGACGCUGAUGGACGAAAGCGUGGGUAGCGAACAGGAUUAGAUACCCUGGUAGUCCACGCCGUAAACGAUGGAUACUAGCUGUUGGGGGCAACUUCAGUGGCUAAGCGAAAGUGAUAAGUAUCCCACCUGGGGAGUACGUUCGCAAGAAUGAAACUCAAAGGAAUUGACGGGGGCCCGCACAAGCGGUGGAGCAUGUGGUUUAAUUCGAUGAUACGCGAGGAACCUUACCAAGGCUUAAAUGUAGAUUGACCGGUUUGGAAACAAGACUUUUCGCAAGACAAUUUACAAGGUGCUGCAUGGUUGUCGUCAGCUCGUGCCGUGAGGUGUCAGGUUAAGUCCUAUAACGAGCGCAACCCCUGUUGUUAGUUGCCAGCGAGUCAUGUCGGGAACUCUAACGAGACUGCCAGUGCAAACUGUGGGGAAGGUGGGGAUNNNNNNNNNNNNNNNNNNNNNNNNNNCGUCCGGGGCGACACACGUGUUACAAUGGUAGGUACAGAGGGCAGCUACCCAGCGAUGGGAUGCGAAUCUCUAAAACCUAUCUCAGUUCGGAUCGGAGUCUGCAACUCGACUCCGUGAAGUUGGAUUCGCUAGUAAUCGCGCAUCAGCCAUGGCGCGGUGAAUACGUUCCCGGGCCUUGUACACACCGCCCGUCAAACAAUGGAAGCUGGGGGUACCUGAAGUCUGUAACCGCAAGGAGCGGCCUAGGGUAAAACUAGUAACUGGUGUUAAGUCGUAACAAGGUA
rnacentral:rRNA from 1 species